rnacentral:rRNA from 1 species
CACUGGUCGAGUCGGCCUGCGCGGAAGAUGUAACGGGGCUAAACCAUGCACCGAAGCUGCGGCAGCGACGCUGAUGCGUUGUUGGGUAGGGGAGCGUUCUGUAAGCCUGUGAAGGUGUGCUGUGAGGCAUGCUGGAGGUAUCAGAAGUGCGAAUGCUGACAUAAGUAACGAUAAAGCGGGUGAAAAGCCCGCUCGCCGGAAGACCAAGGGUUCCUGUCCAACGUUAAUCGGGGCAGG